rnacentral:miRNA from 14 species
ACCCAAAACUAAGCCCGCUCU